rnacentral:misc_RNA from 1 species
AAAGUCCAAUUCACCCCCCUCUUUGACUAUUUUGGGACAACAGCAAUGUUAAAAGAAAAAGAAAAAUUAAAAACUUUGUAUAACAACUGUGGUUCAGAUUAAAAAGAAAUUGAGUCAGUUCUCACUAAAAGCUCAGAAUUGUCAAAGCCACAUUCACUCUCACAAUAGCUUGCAACAAUCACCUGAUAUUAGGAAGCUCAAAUCCAAAAUUACUUAUAAAAUUAACAAACAUAAUAAUUUCUAUAUUCAUAGCUAAAGGUCACCAUAACGAUUUUCAUGAAAAUAACUGCAUCCAUUAGAAAGCAAGUUAAUGAAUCCCAUUACGAAGGAGUUUGCAUUUCUCCCUGGUAUAUUGCUUUCACUUAUAACAAUUUAGUGACAAACAGAACAUCCAAUCAAGCCUACCAGAGCAAAGAUACGACCUGUGG